UACAGUCAUUAAAUACAGCGCAAGCCCGUCUCAGUCUGUCUUUGUCCAUCAACAAGGAGGAAGCGCAUGUGAACAUUUGUGCAUUUGUCGGACGUUCAGAUCUGGACUCACGAUGCUUUCGGUAAAACUUGCCUCUGCUCUGAUCCACCUCCACCUUCAACGACUUGGCACCCUCGAAGACCAAUCCUGCAAGCAAUUCUUUGUUCCAAGAAGACAUUGAGGCCCUCACAAAGAAGACACAAGAUGGUGGGACAAAAGUGGUUGAAGCAAAGGCUGGCAAAGGGCUCUGCAACAUUGUCUAUGGCAUAAGUUUAGAACAUAUGAAUCGUUGUCACUGUCAGCAUGUCUAUUGGUUACACUAUAGAAUAUCUUGUCUGUUUAUUAGCCUUUUAGAAUUUUAUGAUUACUUUCUUCUAUGCUUUGUAACUAUUCAAUCAGUAGAUGCUUCUUGCCUUCAUUGAUUUUUCUAUGAAGGACUACUUGUCAUUCAUUGAAUUUUCUAUGAGACUAUGGUAUAAAUUAGUUGCUGCAUGAUUGCCUAUUACAUGUUCAUGCACA